rnacentral:tRNA from 1 species
AUUUAAAUAGCUUAAAUUAGAGCGUAAUAUUGAAGCUAUUAAAGUGAUCUUUGAUCUUUAAAUA